AACCCUAUUUUGGCAUAUCUUCUUCUUCUUCUUUUUGGUUUUUGUCUAACAUGGAAGCAGCCAACGCCUCUCUUGACCUCUGAAAGCCCUAUGAAAACCUGAAACCAAGGCAAGGUGACAAAGUCUGGUCAUUCAGCCCUGAGAGCCUCCUCAGAUUACUUCUUUACUUAGAAAAACAAAACGUUGUUGCGGAAGAUUCAGAGCCACAGAUAUUCUUUCUGGGCCUGCUGGUGAGAAUGGGAUGUGCCUCCACUCUGAAGUGAGCAAGGGUACUGGUUUUCACCCCGUGCAGUCAACCUGAGGAUCAGAGAGAAGGCCUGAAAUGGAAACCAAUGACUUCAUUUGUUGCUGAUCCACAGCAACAGUGAUGGACUCUAACACUGGAGGAAAAUCUGGCUGCACUGGAUUUAUGAAGAGCUGGUAAAGAAGGUAUUAAUCCUGACUACUACUAUACACUGGACAACUCAAGGGAUUUUUCCAGAGUAAUAUUCAUAGAUCAGAUGCAAUUUUCAUUUGACAUAACCGUAAAAUACAGCUUUUGGUGCUAGUUUCAGCAGCACAUAUACUAAAAUUGGGAUGAGACAGAGAUUAGAAUAUCCCUGCAUAAGGAUGACAUGCAGAG
rnacentral:lncRNA from 1 species